AGAAUCUUUCGCAAUGCCCGAAAGGGUGACGAAGCGACGCCGCGUGUGGGAAGAAGGCCUUCGGGUUGUAAACCACUGUCGGGAGUUAAGAAAUGUAAGGAUGUUAAUAGCGUCCUUGCUUGACUAAGGCUCCGGAGGAAGCCACGGCUAACUCUGUGCCAGCAGCCGCGGUAAUACAGAGGCGGCAAGCGUUGUUCGGAAUUAUUGGGCGUAAAGAGCACGUAGGCGGCCUUGAAAGUCAGUUGUGAAAGCCUUCUGCUUAACGGAAGAACAGCAUCUGAUACUACAGGGCUUGAGUGCGGGAGGGGAGAGUGGAACUUCUGGUGGAGCGGUGAAAUGCGUAGAUAUCAGAAGGAACGCCGGCGGCGAAAGCGGCUCUCUGGCCUGUAACUGACGCUGAGUGUGCGAAAGCUAGGGGAUCAAACGGGAUUAGAUACCCCGGUAGUCCUAGCCGUAAACGAUGGGCACUAAGUAGAGGGGUUUUGAUUAUCUCUCUGCCGGAGCUAACGCAUUAAGUGCCCCGCCUGGGAAGUACGGCCGCAAGGCUAAAACUCAAAAGAAUUGACGGGGGCUCGCACAAGCGGUGGAGCAUGUGGCUUAAUUCGAUGCAACGCGAAGAACCUUACCGGGGUUUGACAUGGUAGAAGUAGGAACCAGAAAUGGUAACGAACGGUAUCCAAUCCGUAACUAUCACAGGUGUUGCAUGGCUG
rnacentral:rRNA from 1 species